rnacentral:rRNA from 1 species
UACAGAGGGUGCGAGCGUUGUUCGGAAUUACUGGGCGUAAAGCGCGCGCAGGCGGCCUUUUAAGUCUACCCGUGAAAUGCCGGAGCUCAACUCCGUGCACGCCGGGGGAUACUGGGGAGCUGGAGACGAGUAGAGGCAAGCGGAAUUCCGGGUGUAGCGGUGGAAUGCGUAGAGAUCCGGAAGAACACCGGAGGCGAAGGCGGCUUGCUGGGUUCGGUCUGACGCUGAGGCGCGAAAGCGUGGGGAGCGAACAGG